CACAAUAAUUCCAUUGUAGAAAUAAGCCCAGGCAUGUUUUCCUGCCAACGGCUCCACUGUUGACUCUCUUUCUCAUCUGAAGAGUUGGGGAAGCGCCAUGAAGAACACCACAGAAAGGUCACUGGACCUGGUAUUCAUGAGGUUGCUGGUGGUUCUGCAAAUGAAGAGACAGUCCCAACUCAUGACCUGCAGAAGUUAGACACGAGAUGUCGUGAGUGCUCCAAAAUAUUCAAGACUAGACAAACAUUGAACCGCCACCGUAGAAAGACACACAACGCAGAGUAUGAGAAGGCUGUGUGGCACCACUGUUUCAUUGAAGGCAGCAGUCAAAACUUUAUCCAAGUGAAAUCUCUAUCACAACACCUGGACUUUCAUCACAAGAUUGACAUGGAUAUUCAGGAACUAGAAUUUUCUAUCAUGAAGGAGUUUGAGUCCUGGAAGGAAGCGGAAGAGAGCAACUUUCACCUACUUUAGAACUGAGAGAGGAGCAACAGCUCGUAAGACCCAGAAGGACAACACUGGGUCUGACAGCAGUGUGUGUGCAACCGAAAACCCAGGUACAUCUACGGUGAACUUUCUAUCAAGUGUAAUCUGCACAAUAUCUAUAUCUGUGUAUUUAUCUAUAUUUAUAUUACAUUUCUAUAGCUAUCUAUAGGUAUAUGUAUCUAUCUAUCUAGGCGUGUCCAAGCACGCCCACAUUAGUUUCUUAAGUUAGAGUUUAGGUUUGAGUUUAGUUGACAUUUUAUGUAGUUUGCCGUAUCUAUCGAAUGUCAUUGUACUAGAGAAUUGGAUAUAUCUAAUAAA